CCUACGGGUGGCAGCAGUGAGGAAUAUUGGUCAAUGGACGAGAGUCUGAACCAGCCAUGUAGCGUGAAGGAUGAUUGCCCUAUGGGUUGUAAACUCCUUUUAUAUGGGACUAAAAUGUUCCACGUGUGGCAUUUUGUAUGUACCAUAUGAAUAAGGAUCGCCUAACUCCGUGCCAGCAGCGGCGGUAAUACGGAGGAUCCGAGCGUUACCCGGAUUUAUUGGGUUUAAGGGGAGCGAAGGUGGUUUGUUAAGUCAGUUGUGAAAGUUUGCGGCGCAACCGUAAAAGUGCAGUUGAAACUGGCAGGCUUGAGUACAGUAGAGGUGGGAGGAAUUCGUGGUGUAGCGGUGAAAUGCUUAGAUAUCACGAAGAACACCGAUUGCGAAGGCAGCUCACUGGACUGCGACUGACACUGAGGCUCGAAAGUGUGGGUAUCAAACAGGAUUAGAUACCCGAGUAGUC
rnacentral:rRNA from 1 species